rnacentral:rRNA from 1 species
GCUCCUCCCUCUUUCCUUCUUUUUUUUUACCCUAAUCCCAGCUUUAAGGCCGGGUAGGGGUUAUUCGGCCCUCCCGGUGGUCUAAUGACCGGGUUAACCGGGGAAAUUAGGGGUUCCGAUUUCCGGAGGAGGGGACCCCUGAAGAAAACGGGCUUCCCACAUUUUAAGGUAUUUUAGGGGGUGGGGAAAAAUCCCCCCAAUUUUUUUAAAAGGGGGGGGGGAUACAAGAAAUACCAAUACAGGGCCUACCGUUCUGGUAAUUGGAAUGAGUGAAGUAUAAACCCCUUUACGAGUAUCAAUUGGAGGGCAAGUCUGGUGCCAGCAGCCGCGGUAAUUCCAGCUCCAAUAGCGUAUAUUAAAGUUGUGGCAGUUAAAAAGCUGGUAGUUGGAUUUCUGUGGUAUAAUUUAUAAUAUUACCAAGGUAAUUAUUAUAUUAUCAACAUCCUUCCUAUUAUAUUCUAAAUAUAUAGGAAAUUUUACUUUGAGAAAAUUAGAGUGCUUAAAGCAGGCAACUGCCUUGAAUACUCCAGCAUGGAAUAAUAAGUAAGGACUUUUGUCUUUCUUAUUGGUUCUAGGACAAAAGUAAUGGUUAAUAGGGACAGUUGGGGGCAUUCGUAUUUAACAGCCAGAGGUGAAAUUCUUAGAUUUGUUAAAGACGAACUACUGCGAAAGCAUUUGCCAAGGAUGUUUUCAUUAAUCAAGAACGAAAGUUAGGGGAUCGAAGACGAUCAGAUACCGUCGUAGUCUACCAUAAGCAUGCCGCAAGG